rnacentral:rRNA from 1 species
CAGUCGCCACGGUAAUACGAAGGGUGCAAGCGUUACUCGGAAUUACUGGGCGUAAAGCGUGCGUAGGUGGUGGUUUAAGUCCGUUGUGAAAGCCCUGGGCUCAACCUGGGAAUUGCAGUGGAUACUGGAUCACUAGAGUGUGGUAGAGGAUAGUGGAAUUUCCGGUGUAGCAGUGAAAUGCGUAGAGAUCGGAAGGAACAUCAGUGGCGAAGGCGGCCAUCUGGGACAACACUGACGCUGAGGCACGAAAGCGUGGGGAGCAAACAGGAUUAGAUACCCCCGUAGUCCCUGUCUCUUAUAC